UAAAUUUAGAGUUUGAUCCUGGCUCAGGACGAACGCUGGCGGCGUGCUUAACACAUGCAAGUCGAGCGAUGAAGCUUCCUUCGGGAAGUGGAUUAGCGGCGGACGGGUGAGUAACACGUGGGUAACCUGCCUCAAAGUGGGGGAUAGCCUUCCGAAAGGAAGAUUAAUACCGCAUAAUAUAAGAGAAUCGCAUGAUUUUUUUAUCAAAGAUUUAUUGCUUUGAGAUGGACCCGCGGCGCAUUAGCUAGUUGGUAAGGUAACGGCUUACCAAGGCAACGAUGCGUAGCCGACCUGAGAGGGUGAUCGGCCACAUUGGAACUGAGACACGGUCCAGACUCCUACGGGAGGCAGCAGUGGGGAAUAUUGCGCAAUGGGGGAAACCCUGACGCAGCAACGCCGCGUGGGUGAUGAAGGUCUUCGGAUUGUAAAGCCCUGUUUUCUAGGACGAUAAUGACGGUACUAGAGGAGGAAGCCACGGCUAACUACGUGCCAGCAGCCGCGGUAAUACGUAGGUGGCGAGCGUUGUCCGGAUUUACUGGGCGUAAAGGGUGCGUAGGCGGAUGUUUAAGUGGGAUGUGAAAUCCCCGGGCUUAACCUGGGGGCUGCAUUCCAAACUGGAUAUCUAGAGUGCAGGAGAGGAAAGCGGAAUUCCUAGUGUAGCGGUGAAAUGCGUAGAGAUUAGGAAGAACACCAGUGGCGAAGGCGGCUUUCUGGACUGUAACUGACGCUGAGGCACGAAAGCGUGGGUAGCAAACAGGAUUAGAUACCCUGGUAGUCCACGCCGUAAACGAUGGAUACUAGGUGUAGGGGGUAUCAACUCCCCCUGUGCCGCAGUUAACACAAUAAGUAUCCCGCCUGGGGAGUACGGUCGCAAGAUUAAAACUCAAAGGAAUUGACGGGGGCCCGCACAAGCAGCGGAGCAUGUGGUUUAAUUCGAAGCAACGCGAAGAACCUUACCUGGACUUGACAUCCCUUGCAUAGCCUAGAGAUAGGUGAAGCCCUUCGGGGCAAGGAGACAGGUGGUGCAUGGUUGUCGUCAGCUCGUGUCGUGAGAUGUUAGGUUAAGUCCUGCAACGAGCGCAACCCUUGUUAUUAGUUGCUACCAUUAAGUUGAGCACUCUAAUGAGACUGCCUGGGUAACCAGGAGGAAGGUGGGGAUGACGUCAAAUCAUCAUGCCCCUUAUGUCCAGGGCUACACACGUGCUACAAUGGUAGGUACAAUAAGACGCAAGACCGUGAGGUGGAGCAAAACUUAUAAAACCUAUCUCAGUUCGGAUUGUAGGCUGCAACUCGCCUACAUGAAGCUGGAGUUGCUAGUAAUCGCGAAUCAGAAUGUCGCGGUGAAUACGUUCCCGGGCCUUGUACACACCGCCCGUCACACCAUGAGAGCUGGUAACACCCGAAGUCCGUGAGGUAACCGUAAGGAGCCAGCGGCCGAAGGUGGGAUUAGUGAUUGGGGUGAAGUCGUAACAAGGUAGCCGUAGGAGAACCUGCGGCUGGAUCACCUCCUUU
rnacentral:rRNA from 2 species